rnacentral:rRNA from 1 species
ACAUGCCUACAACAUAGUGUUAAUGCACCAUAUCCCAUUAGAACUUUGUAGUUAAGCACGCUCAGGCUAGAGUAGUACUAGGAUGGAUGAGCACUUGGGAUGUCCUAGUGUUUUACAUGCC